UUUUUUUUCCCUCUCUCUUUUUUUUUUCCUCUCUGCUCUCUUCAAUCUUCAAAUUAUUUUUUAUUCCUCUCUAUUUAAAUAACUUUUUUUAUUUCUUUCUCUCUCUUCAAUUUUUUGAAGUUUAAAAUUUAAAAUUAGAUUUGAAAAUUAAAAAAUUUAAACUUAAAUUUUUAAAAAAUGAAUGAUAUUUGUCCAAAAUAUUUUAAAAAAUGCAUAAAUUUCCAGCAGCAAAGCGCGGGCCUUCACUAGUUCUUAAUGAUUCAUGGUGAUAUAUGGUUUAUCUGAGACAUGCGAUUGAUGGUUUUAUCGUACGUGGUUUUCUAUCCCUCGUGGUAGCUAACCUUUAAAAGUAAGUUUUCGUGUGGAAAACAGUUUUCAAAUAACUUUUGGAUUUUUCGAUGUUUAGUAUUUUUAAAUAUAGUUUUCAAGUGGGAAACACUUUUAAAAGAAUAGGAUUGAUUGCUGUUUGUGAAUUAGCAUCAUCCUUCGCUUAAGGAGUGUUUAGAGAAUGCAUCAUCAUAAAAAUGGUUAGUUGAAUGAUUAUCUGACAUCCGCAUUGUUUAUAUUGUUUGUGUGAGUGGAUAAGUGUGUCGUUGUGUGUGUUGUGUUAGUACACAGUGUAGAUACAGGAAAGACUCUAUCAGUGUGGACAAAGAGAUUUCUGU
rnacentral:lncRNA from 1 species